rnacentral:rRNA from 1 species
UACGUAGGGGGCAAGCGUUAUCCGGAAUCAUUGGGCGUAAAGAGCGUGUAGGCGGCCAGAUAAGGUCCGCUGUGAAAUCUCGAGGCUCAACUUCGAGCUGUCGGUGGAAACUGUCUGGCUAGAGUCCGGAAGAGGAGAAUGGAAUUCCUGGUGUAGCGGUGAAAUGCGCAGAUAUCAGGAAGAACACCCGUGGCGAAGGCGGUUCUCUGGGACGGUACUGACGCUGAGACGCGAAAGCGUGGGGAGCGAACAGG